rnacentral:rRNA from 1 species
ACGGAAUAGAUACCCAGGUAGUCCCAGCUGUAAACGAUGCAGGCUAGGUGUUUGGACGGCCACGUGCCGUUCUAGUGCCGCAGGGAAGCUGUUAAGCCUGCCGCCUGGGGAGUACGAUCGCAAGAUUGAAACUUAAAGGAAUUGGCGGGGGAGCACCACAAGGGGUGAAGCUUGCGGUUUAAUUGGAGUCAACGCCGGAAAUCUCACCGGGAGCGACAGCAGUAUGAAAGCCAGAUUAAAGGUCUUGCUAGACGAGCUGAGAGGGGGUGCAUGGCCGUCGCCAGUUCGUGCCGUGAGGUGUCCUGUUAAGUCAGGCAACGAUCGAGACCCGCGUCCUCUGUUGCAACCAGUUUUGUGCUGGGCACACUGAGGAGACCGCCACUGAUAAAGUGGAGGAAGGAGCGGGCCACGGCAGGUCAGUAUGCCCCGAAUCUCCCGGGCCACACGCGAGCUGCAAUGGCAGGUACAAUGGGUUCCGACCUCGAAAGGGGAAGGCAAUCUCGAAAGCCUGCCGUAGUUGGAAUCGAAGGCU